AUAGAGAACCGCAUGGUUCUCUAUUAAAAGAUGGUUUCGGCUAUCACUUACAGAUGAGCCCGCGGCGCAUUAGCUAGUUGGUGAGGUAAUGGCUCUCCAAGGCAACGAUGCGUAGCCGACCUGAGAGGGUGAUCGGCCACACUGGGACUGAGACACGGCCCAGACUCCUACGGGAGGCAGCAGUAGGGAAUCUUCCGCAAUGGACGAAAGUCUGACGGAGCAACGCCGCGUGAACGAUGAAGGCCUUCGGGUCGU
rnacentral:rRNA from 1 species